rnacentral:rRNA from 1 species
CGCUGGCGGCGUGCUUAACACAUGCAAGUCGAGCGGAGAUAUUCGGAAAGCUUGCUUUUUGGAUAUCUUAGCGGCGGACGGGUGAGUAACGUGUGGGCAACCUGCCUCAUACAGAGGGAUAAUCAUGUGAAAACGUGACUAAUACCGCAUGUCAUUACCGAAGGGCAUCCUUUGGUAAGAAAAGGAGCAAUCCGGUAUGAGAUGGGCCCGCAUCUGAUUAGCUAGUUGGUGAGAUAACAGCCCACCAAGGCGACGAUCAGUAGCCGACCUGAGAGGGUGAUCGGCCACAUUGGGACUGAGACACGGCCCAAACUCCUACGGGAGGCAGCAGUGGGGAAUAUUGCACAAUGGGGGGAACCCUGAUGCAGCAACGCCGCGUGAAGGAAGACGGUUUUUCGGAUUGUAAACUUCUAUCAAUAGGGACGAAGAAAGUGACGGUACCUAAAUAAGAAGCCCCGGCUAACUACGUGCC